GUAGUCUAAUUAAACAGAAGGUGAAAUGGCCGGAGAGGUGGUGACUCCACAUGUUGCCGUAUGGACUCUUACCGCCCUGGUUAGACGGCUCUAAUAAACACAGGGAGCUGCUUUGGCUCAUGUCCUUCCCUGGGUUAUUGAACUGAUGCUGCAGAUGGUGUGGGGUGGCACAUAGACAGAAAAGCUGUUCUGAUGGGAAUGUUGCUUGUUUGGUCCCGCAGCUGAACCACCUGGUGACGGAGCAGCUGGUAAAGUGCGGCGUCCCAACGGUGGGCAUUUCGCCCUUUGGCGUCUGGAGGACAGCAGGCAAGAAAGUCAGCCAGGCUGGCAUUUCUGCCAUAAGGGAUGCCUUGGAUGCUGGCUACAUCCCGGUCAUGCAUGGGGACUGUGCUCUGGACUCUGAACAGCACUGCUGUAUCUUAUCAGGGGAUGCUAUCAUCGAGGUUCUGUCCAGGGAAUUCUCCCCCCAGCGAGUGGUUUUCUUGACCGAUGUCAGUGGAAUCUAUGACCGU
rnacentral:lncRNA from 1 species